rnacentral:rRNA from 1 species
GACGUAGGGCGCGAGCGUUGUCCGGAUUUAUUGGGCGUAAAGAGCUCGUAGGCGGCUUGUCGCGUCGGCUGUGAAAACCCGCGGCUCAACUGUGGGCGGGCAGCUGAUACGGGCAGGCUGGAGUUCGGUAGGGGAGACUGGAAUUCCUGGUGUAGCGGUGAAAUGCGCAGAUAUCGGGAGGAACACCUGUGGCGAAGGCGGCCCCCUGGUUGGAUACUGACGCUGAUACGCGAAAGCGUGGGGAGCAAACAGG